AUCCAGCUGACGAGCCCUAAAUAGGACGAAACGCUCGUCCUGGAU
rnacentral:hammerhead_ribozyme from 1 species